rnacentral:rRNA from 1 species
UCGGGAAACUUCUGCAAUGCGCGCAAGCGUGACAGAGCAAGCCAGAGUGUUAUUCUCUAUUAUGUGAAUAACUUUUGCGGGAUGUAAAAAGUCUCGCGAAUAAGGACUGGGCAAGACUGGUGCCAGCCGCCGCGGUAAUCCCAGCAGUCCGAGUCGCAGCCACAAUUAUUGGGUCUAAAACAUCCGUAGCUUGCUUGGUAAGUUCUUUGUCAAAUCGGGACUCUUAAGGUUCCGGCGAGCAAAGGGUACUGCCUGGCUAGGGACCGGUAGACGCACUGAGUACUAAAAGGGUAGCGGUAAAAUGUGUUGAUCCUUUUGGGACUAACAAUAGCGAAGGCACGGUGCGAGCACGGAUCCGACAGUGAGGGAUGAAGGCUAGGGGCGCAAAGUGG